rnacentral:rRNA from 1 species
UUAAAUUGAAGAGUUUGAUCAUGGCUCAGAUUGAACGCUGGCGGCAGGCUUAACACAUGCAAGUCGAACGGUAACAUGAGUGCUUGCACUUGAUGACGAGUGGCGGACGGGUGAGUAAAGUAUGGGGAUCUGCCGAAUGGUGGGGAACAACAGUUGGAAACGACUGCUAAUACCGCAUAAAGUUGAGAGACCAAAGCAUGGGACCUUCGGGCCAUGCGCCAUUUGAUGAACCCAUAUGGGAUUAGCUAGUAGGUGGGGUAAAGGCUCACCUAGGCGACGAUCUCUAGCUGGUCUGAGAGGAUGGCCAGCCACACUGGAACUGAGACACGGUCCAGACUCCUACGGGAGGCAGCAGUGGGGAAUAUUGCACAAUGGGGGGAACCCUGAU